UUGUGCAGAUGAGUACAGCUCACCAUGCCGGUGUACUCUACGCCACCAUAGUUUCUCUUGGACUUCCAUUCCAAUGGAGCCCCCCAAACGUAUUCAUCAUUACGUAUGUCGCAUUAUAUUUUGUGGCGGCUUGCCUCAUAAAAGAUAUUCCAGAUGUGGAAGGUGACAUGAAGUAUAACAUUCGAACAUUUGCGGCGAUAGUCGGACCUAAAAAUAUUACAAUUCUUGGAA